UACGUAGGGUGCAAGCGUUGUCCGGAAUUAUUGGGCGUAAAGAGCUCGUAGGCGGUCUGUCACGUCGGCUGUGAAAACCCGGGGCUCAACCCCGGGCCUGCAGUCGAUACGGGCAGACUAGAGUGCGGUAGGGGAGACUGGAAUUCCUGGUGUAGCGGUGAAAUGCGUAGAUAUCAAGUGGAACACCAGUGGCGAAGGCGAGUCUCUGGACAUUUCCUGACGCUGAGGCACGAAAGCCAGGGGAGCAAACGGG
rnacentral:rRNA from 1 species